rnacentral:rRNA from 1 species
GAUGAACGCUGGCGGCGUGCCUAAUACAUGCCAGUCGAGCGAACAGACGAGGAGCUUGCUCCUCUGACGUUAGCGGCGGACGGGUGAGUAACACGUGGAUAACCUACCUAUAAUACUGGGAUAACUUCGGGAAACCGGAGCUAAUACCGGAUAAUAUAUUGAACCGCAUGGUUCAAUAGUGAAAGACGGUUUUGCUGUCACUUAUAGAUGGAUCCGCGCCGCAUUAGCUAGUUGGUAAGGUAACGGCUUACCAAGGCAACGAUGCGUAGCCGACCUGAGAGGGUGAUCGGCCACACUGGAACUGAGACACGGUCCAGACUCCUACGGGAGGCAGCAGUAGGGAAUCUUCCGCAAUGGGCGAAAGCCUGACGGAGCAACGCCGCGUGAGUGAUGAAGGUCUUCGGAUCGUAAAACUCUGUUAUUAGGGAAGAACAAAUGUGUAAGUAACUAUGCACGUCUUGACGGUACCUAAUCAGAAAGCAACGGCUAACUACGUG